rnacentral:rRNA from 1 species
AUACGUAGGGUGCAAGCGUUAAUCGGAAUUACUGGGCGUAAAGCGUGCGCAGGCGGUUUUGUAAGACAGUGGUGAAAUCCCCGGGCUCAACCUGGGAACUGCCAUUGUGACUGCAAGGCUGGAGUGCGGCAGAGGGGGAUGGAAUUCCGCGUGUAGCAGUGAAAUGCGUAGAUAUGCGGAGGAACACCGAUGGCGAAGGCAAUCCCCUGGGCCUGCACUGACGCUUAUGCACGAAAGCGUGGGGAGCAAACAGGAUUAGAUACCCUGGUAGUCCACGCCCUAAACGAUGUCAACUGGUUGUUGGGGAUUUAUUUUCUCAGUAACGAAGCUAACGCGUGAAGUUGACCGCCUGGGGAGUACGGCCGCAAGGUUAAAACUCAAAUGAAUUGACGGGG